rnacentral:rRNA from 1 species
UACGAGUGGUGCAAGCGUUUAUUCGGAAUUACUGGGCGUAAAGGGUGCGUAGGCGGCGGGGUAAGUCAGGUGUGAAAUCUCAAGGCUCAACCUUGAAAUUGCACUUGAUACUGCCUCGCUUGAGCGCUGAAGAGGAGGUUGGAAUUUACGGUGUAGCAGUGAAAUGCGUAGAUAUCGUAAGGAAGGCCGGUGGCGAAAGCGAACCUCUGGGCAGCAGCUGACGCUGUGGCACGAAGGCUAGGGGAGCAAACGGG